rnacentral:rRNA from 1 species
ACUUGACGGUACCCCAUAUCCCCCUAGAGGAGCCUGUUCUGUAAUCGAUAAUCCACGCUAAACCUCACCAUUUCUAGUUUAUCAGCCUGUAUACCUCCGUCGUCAGCUUACCGCGUGAGCGACCCUAGUAAGCUCAAUGAUAUUUCAUCAAUACGUCAGGUCAAGGUGCAGCAAAUGAAAUGGGAAGAAAUGGGCUACACUUUCUAAUUUAGAAAAAACGAAAGACUUUAUGAAACCUAGUCAGAAGGCGGAUUUAGAAGUAAGAGGGAAUUAGAAUAUCCCCUUAACCUGGCACUGGGGUGUGUACACACCGCCCGUCACCCUCUUCAAUAAGCCAAUAACAGUAUUUAACUACCUAGCGUACAAUAGAAGAGGUAAGUCGUAACAUGGUAAGUAUACCGGAAGGUGUGCUUGG